UACGUAGGGGGCUAGCGUUGUCCGGAAUCAUUGGGCGUAAAGAGCGUGUAGGCGGCCAGUUGCGUCUGCUGUGAAAUCCCGGGGCUCAACCCCGGGCGUGCAGUGGAUACGGGCUGGCUAGAGGCAGGCAGGGGAGAACGGAAUUCCCGGUGUAGCGGUGAAAUGCGCAGAUAUCGGGAGGAACACCGGUGGCGAAGGCGGUUCUCUGGGCCUGUACUGACGCUGAGGAGCGAAAGCGUGGGGAGCGAACAGG
rnacentral:rRNA from 1 species